rnacentral:lncRNA from 1 species
AGUCGAGCACCGGACAGAAGGCAAUGAUGUGACACAGGCAGCCAUAAUGUGACACGGCGUGCACAGCAGGCGGUGCGACAGCGGCAACGUGACAGCAACAAGUGCGUAGGUAUGCAGGCGUGCACGACAAGGGGAUAAUUGCAUGUGCACACGGUGAUGGGAUGCAUUGUAGGCGCAUGUGAUGGGAUGCGUUGUAGGUGCACGCGAUGGAAGGGGCAUGUACGGCACGCUGGAGCUCGCAGUCAUGCGGGCUCGCGCGUAUGCCUGCGGGUCCGUUUU